rnacentral:rRNA from 1 species
GUGGGGAAUCUUGCACAAUGGGGGCAACCCUGAUGCAGCGACGCCGCGUGAGCGAUGAAGCCCUUCGGGGCGUAAAGCUCUUUCGACCGGAACGAUAAUGACGGUACCGGGAGAAGAAGCUGCGGCUAACUACGUGCCAGCAGCCGCGGUAAUACGUAGGCAGCAAGCGUUGUUCGGAGUUACUGGGCGUAAAGAGUGCGUAGGCGGUUUUCUAAGUUCGGUGUGAAAUCUCCCGGCUUAACUGGGAGGGUGCGCCGAAGACUGGGAAACUGGAGUGUGGGAAAGGCAGGCGGAAUUCCUGGUGUAGCGGUGAAAUGCGUAGAUAUCAGGAGGAACACCGGCGGUGUAGACGGCUUGCUAGACCAUAACUGACGCUGAGGCACGAAAGCGUGGGUAGCAAACA